rnacentral:lncRNA from 1 species
UGAUACCGGAUGUUCGGCAGUUAUGGGGACAGCUUCUGACCCACAAGAUGGGAGAGUUAAUGGUGGGAGUUAUGGGGUUAUGGGGCAGCUCUGACCCACAAGUGGGGAGUUAUGGGGCAGCUCUGACCCACAAGUGGGGAGUUAUGGGGGAUAGUCUAUGGUGGUUUAUGGUGCAGCUCUGACCGCAGCAGGUGGGGAUGGUCUCACUGAGAAGAAUUAUGGGGCUAGCUCUUAUGACCACACAUCAGUGGGGAGUUAUGGGCGUUUAUGGCGGCAGCUUUCUGACCCACCAAGUGGGAGUUAUGGGAGUGGGAUGGGGAGUUUAUGGGGCAGCUCUGACCCACAAGUGGGGAGUUAUGGGGUUAUGGGGCAGCUCUGACCCACAAGUGGGGAGUUAUGGGGCAGCUCUGACCCACAAGUGGGGAGUUAUGGGGGAGUUAUGGGGUUAUGGGGCAGCUCUGACCCACAAGUGGGGAGUUAUGGGGGAGUUAUGGGGUUAUGGGGCAGCUCUGACCCACAAGUGGGGAGUUAUGGGGGAGUUAUGGGGUUAUGGGGCAGCUCUGACCCACAAGUGUGGCGAACCACGGCCGAAACA